UGGGGAAUAUUGGACAAUGGGCGAAAGCCUGAUCCAGCCAUGCCGCGUGUGUGAAGAAGGUCUUCGGAUUGUAAAGCACUUUAAGUUGGGAGGAAGGGCAUUAACCUAAUACGUUAGUGUUUUGACGUUACCGACAGAAUAAGCACCGGCUAACUCUGUGCCAGCAGCCGCGGUAAUACAGAGGGUGCAAGCGUUAAUCGGAAUUACUGGGCGUAAAGCGCGCGUAGGUGGUUUGUUAAGUUGGAUGUGAAAUUCCCGGGCUCAACCUGGGAACUGCAUUCAAAACUGACUGACUAGAGUAUGGUAGAGGGUGGUGGAAUUUCCUGUGUAGCGGUGAAAUGCGUAGAUAUAGGAAGGAACACCAGUGGCGAAGGCGACCACCUGGACUAAUACUGACACUGAGGUGCGAAAGCGUGGGGAGCAAACA
rnacentral:rRNA from 1 species